ACCCAGUUGACGAGUCGUAAAUAGGACGAAACGCGCGUCAUGGGU
rfam:Schistosoma rodhaini strain Burundi genome assembly, scaffold: SROB_scaffold0000085